CAAACAAACAAACAAACAAACAAACAAACAUAUACAUACGAAGAGAUAACAAACGGACAUAUGGUACGACAGAUUCAUGAUAUUCCAUUCAUGCUUGUUGUAUUCUAUUGAUGCUUGCUGAUGCUUAAUCUGAUCCA
rnacentral:ribozyme from 12 species